AACGAACGCUGGCGGCAUGCCUAACACAUGCAAGUCGAACGAGACCUUCGGGUCUAGUGGCGCACGGGUGCGUAACGCGUGGGAACCUGCCCUUAGGUUCGGAAUAACUCCCCGAAAGGGGUGCUAAUACCGGAUAAUGUCUUCGGACCAAAGAUUUAUCGCCUUUGGAUGGGCCCGCGUUGGAUUAGCUAGUUGGUAGGGUAAAAGCCUACCAAGGCGACGAUCCAUAGCUGGUCUGAGAGGAUGAUCAGCCACACUGGGACUGAGACACGGCCCAGACUCCUACGGGAGGCAGCAGUGGGGAAUAUUGGACAAUGGGCGAAAGCCUGAUCCAGCAAUGCCGCGUGAGGGAUGAAGGCCUUAGGGUUGUAAAGCUCUUUUACCCGGGAUGAUAAUGACAGUACCGGGAGAAUAAGCUCCGGCUAACUCCG
rnacentral:rRNA from 1 species